UUCCCUGGCGGCCCGGCCAGCCCAACCCAUUGAAAACCAAUGAAUAAAGAAAGCCUAGCAGGCUUGCAGCCCAUCAGGGAGGGAAAAUGAUAAGGGGAAAACGUUGUUAACCCUAGCACGUAGCAUGUGGACUUUUCUGAACUUUGGUCUUUUUCAACUUAUCGAUAUUGAAAAAUUGUUGAACUUUGUUUAUAUUGUUUGUCGAACUUAUUGUUAUAUCAUUAAUCAUCAUAUAUUCAUAUAAUGGUAUUACGUGGAGUGUUAUGGUGCAAGAAUAAAAUUAUGAAGUCCCCUUCAUGUAUAGUUAAAUAUGUGAUUAUGCCACACCCCCAUUGUAUCCGACGUGAAUUUUUUACUUUCAACCAGCAUCGGUUACCGAUCCAACUGUCCAGCUUCCAAUAUAGCAAUAUCAUCGAUAUGCUAUCGCUUUCGGGUCUACCAUUUCGAUUCCGUUUUUGAGAAAAAAAAUAGAAAUGAAAAUUUCAGACCGUUUUCAUCCAUAAUCGGAGGAGAUGGGGCAUCCCCACCCUUACGCGCCGGCGGAGCUUCACCUACCGGGCUUCGUGCCUCUGCAACUGUCUGCCCUACCUUGCCACCUCCAUCUUCGUCCUCCUCGCCGUCUGGCUCAUCUCCGAGUAUAUCUUUGAUUUGCUUCGGAGUACCAAGACCGGCUUGCCGAUUUCCCAUCUGCUUUGGGGCAGAUAGCUUUCGAGUGGGAUGUGGUGGAUGUGUGGAUAUUUCUGGUGUCUGCGUCUGCUUUUGGAUGGUUGGUCGGUUGGUCCGGUCCCCGUUUGUGGUUGUGGCCGGGAUGCGUCGUGAACGCGUGGCGGCGUCUCAUGCCAGGAACCGGGCGAAAUGCGUAGCGUCACGGUGCCCUGAGGCGUCGAGAUCUGAGUAGGAAUCUGGUUUUCUUUUGGAUCAAUAAUUUCCUGUUGCACUACUGAGCUUGUGGUGUGCGAGAGAGUAAACGCCAAGGAUGGCAUGUUGCAACUGGCUAGUAUAUACUCCAUGUAAUGUAAAUACUUGCAUUGGACAGCGAUUUCAGGGUCAAUUCAAGUAGAAUUGACACUUA